GCGACAAGAGCUUCAGCCAGAAGGGGAACCUGUCCACUCACCUGAGGAUCCACAGCGGGGAGAAGCCCUUCGUCUGUCUGCAGUGCGCCAGCAGCUUCAGGAGCAAAGCCAACUUCAACUGCCACAUGAGGAAGCACUCCUGAAGAGAGAGAGAGAGAGAGAGGGAUUGGGUUCAGGACAGCGGUGGUCUUCAUGUAGAGUGACAGAAGCACAUGACUUGUGAGAGCUCUGUUAGGUGUGUGUGUGUGUGUGUGUGUGUGAGGACACGGGUCAAUGAGCUGAACACGAUUUCGUGUGCAGACACGGGACGUUUAAAUGUUCACAUAAAGCUGAAUUUUGUGUGGACAGGACUCUUAUUUUGGCGUGGCGGUGUGACGUCAUAAGGCCGCGCCGCGCUGCUGCGUCUGUUUCAGCUGCAGAAAGACCUUCUGGUGAGAGAGGACCGAAGAGGAGAUGUGUUGAGAGCGUGUCCGAUCCAGCAGAAGAAGACCCGAGGAUCUGGAGUCAGCUUCAGUGACCGAGAGUAGAGCAGUCUCUGAGUGACCGCUGCUGAAACCUGACUGUCACAGAUAAACUCCUGCUGAAGAGGCUGAGGCCACUGUCAGAAAGAUGGCCUUGAUUAAAGAGGAG